UACGGAGGGAGCUAGCGUUUGUUCGGAAUUACUGGGCGUAAAGCGCACGUAGGCGGCUUUGUAAGUUAGAGGUGAAAGCCCGGGGCUCAACCCCGGAAUUGCCUUUAAGACUGCAUCGCUUGAAUCCGGGAGAGGUGAGUGGAAUUCCGAGUGUAGAGGUGAAAUUUCGUAGAUAUUCGGAAGAACACCAGUGGAGAAGGCGGCUCACUGGACCGGUAUUGACGCUGAGGUGCGAAAGCGUGGGGAGCAAACAGG
rnacentral:rRNA from 1 species